AAAUGAAUAGACGGGGGCCCGCACAAGCGGUGGAGCAUGUGGCUUAAUUCGAUGCAACGCGAAGAACCUUACCUGGGCUAAAUCCAUGGCGACCGCUCCUGAAAGGGAGCUUCCCUUCGGGGCGCUAUGGAAGGUGCUGCAUGGCUGUCGUCAGCUCGUGCCGUGAGGUGUUGCCUUAAGUGGCGCAACGAGCGCAACCCCUGUGGUUAGUUACCAGCACGUAAUGGUGGGGACUCUAGCCAGACUGCCUACGCAAGUAGUGAGGAAGGUGGGGACGACGUCAAGUCAUCAUGGCCCUUACGUCCAGGGCUGCACACGUGCUACAAUGGAUGGUACAGUGGGAAGCCACCCGGCGACGGGGCGCAGAUCCCCAAAGCCAUUCUCAGUUCGGAUUGGAGUCUGCAACUCGACUCCAUGAAGGCGGAAUCGCUAGUAAUCGCGUAUCAGCAACGACGCGGUGAAUACGUUCCCGGGCCUUGUACACACCGCCCGU
rnacentral:rRNA from 1 species